UACGAAGGGGGCUAGCGUUGCUCGGAAUCACUGGGCGUAAAGGGUGCGUAGGCGGGUCUUUAAGUCAGGGGUGAAAUCCUGGAGCUCAACUCCAGAACUGCCUCUGAUACUGGCAAUCUUGAGUCCGGAAGAGGUGAGUGGAACUCCUGGUGUAGAGGUGGAAUUCGUAGAUAUUAGGAAGAACACCAGUGGCGAAGGCGGCUCACUGGUCCGGUACUGACGCUGAGGUGCGAAAGCGUGGGGAGCAAACAGG
rnacentral:rRNA from 1 species